rnacentral:rRNA from 1 species
GACGAACGCUGGCGGCGUGCUUAACACAUGCAAGUCGAACGGGCCUUGUCCCCUUUUUUUUUGGGGGUGGGGUUAGUGGCGAACGGGUGAGUAACACGUGAGUAACCUGCCCCUCACUUCUGGAUAACCGCUUGAAAGGGUGGCUAAUACGGGGUGUUCUGGCCUGCUCGCAUGGGUGGGUUUGGAAAGAUUCGACCGGUUUUGGUUGUUUUGGUGGGGGAUGGGCUCGCGGCCUAUCAGCUUGUUGGUGGGGUGAUGGCCUGCCAAGGCUUUGACGGGUAGCCGGCCUGAGAGGGUGGGCGGUCACACUGGGACUGAGACACGGCCCAGACUCCUACGGGAGGCAGCAGUGGGGAAUAGUGCACAAUGGGCGCAAGCCUGAUGCAGCGACGCCGCGUGAGGGAUGGAGGCCUUCGGGUUGUGAACCUCUUUCGCCAGUGAAGAAGGUCCUGCUCUUUGUGGUGGGGUUGACGGUAGCCGGGUUAAUGAAGCGCCGGCUAACUACGUG